rnacentral:misc_RNA from 1 species
GAUGAAGAACGCAGCGAAAUGCGAUAAGUAAUGUGAAUUGCAGAAUUCAGUGAAUCAUCGAAUCUUUGAACGCACAUUGCGCCCGCCAGUAUUCUGGCGGGCAUGCCUGUUCGAGCGUCAUUUCAACCAUCAAGCCCCCGGCUUGUGUUGGGGACCUGCGGCUGCCGCAGGCCCUGAAAACCAGUGGCGGGCUCGCUAGUCACUCCGAGCGUAGUAAUACAUCUCGCUCAGGGCGUGCUGCGGGUUCCGGCCGUUAAAAAGCCUUAUUUACCCAAGGUUGACCUCGGACCAGGUAGGAAGACCCGCUGAACUUAAGCAUAUCAAUAAGCGGAGGA